ACAAGCCAAAAUUGGUCUGGUUUGAGAAGAUGGACAAAAUGUCCGUCAUUGUUGCCCGUUGACCCUCGUACAAUUUACAGUUCCAGAAGAUAUGUUCAUCCGUUUUCAGCCCAUCAUCACAUCCACAUGCGCUGACCACGCGACACCCUCUGUCUGCAAAAGUUGGAAUUAACUUUACUGACAAGCGGCAGUCGCUCAGUCGGUAUAGUUUGCUUGCGGACUAGAGGCCACAGAGGAAACAUAAAAUUCUGCCUGUAAAAUCUGUAUUGAGAUGCAGUAGGACAAUGAUGCCCUCAAGUGCGGAACAGAAUAUCUAAAAGGACAGCUUAACAACGUUGUGGCAAUCGAGGAGCAAUUAAUUGUAACAACAGAGUAACAGGGUCUGAAGAUCAGGGAUGACAUGCAGCUUGAAAUGGAGCAUCUUUGGGGCCAGUGUAAGGAUGAUAAGAACCUUAUAGUGGGCGCCAAACGCCAAGCAAGGUGUGCGACAGCCAUAAAGGAAGUGGGGAACACUCUCAAGCUUGAAGCAGAACAACUUUGAGGCCAGUGUAAGGAAGCAGCAGCACUGAAGGAAUGACUGAAUAUCGCUACAGUGCAGCUUGUUCUUGUUUUUAUACUCAUAUUAUGCCUUGUAGGACUGCUUUGGACACUGAGAGCUUUGCUUAACUUUUUGUGACACGGUCUCCGCUUCAUUGCAUAAGACGUCAUCGUCCCAUAAUCCCCAUAUCUCAGCAAUUGCACGGCACUCCAAUCAUAUUAUUCUCUGAUUACUGGCUGUUAAUGGGAUCACUAGUGUGCAGAUAUGUUAAGAACUAACAAUACUCAACACAUCUGAUUACAUGGAUUCCAAGGGCUAAGCACCAUACACAGUUUGCAAACUAUUCAUUAUAAUUUACACAUCAUACAUUCUCAGGGAAUUCCGCACCGUUUGAUCUGUUAAAUUUAGGGUUGUUGCCUAAUACUGUAUUAGCAUUCUCAAUAGCCUUAGUAUGGCCGGAUGAUUCUCACUAUUGUCGGUUAAUAAAGCUUGGCUGAAUCUGACGUCCCAGAAUGACUGAGUGACUGGCUGUUAACAAGUUGCAAUUUACUGUUUGACACAAAUGUGGCCAGAGAGGAGAGUUGAAGGAAGUUCUCCAUGGUUUACUGUUUGACCCUGGAGAUGGAAGUGCUGUGUUGCACUGAAACUUUGUGUUCUCCCUGAACUACAGAGUGUUACAAACAAGAAGACCGUUGUCUUCGCUUUGUAAUUAAAUGGGCUCAAACAAUGCAAAACAAAGUUAAUCUUAUAGUUUAGUUUUGGUGGCCAUAUACACUGUUUCAUGUUUUCAACAGUAGACAGAAUGUAAUACAACUUUUCAUUAUAAAGGCAAAGUUUCCCCUUAAUAAAUUAAGAUCUACGUCAUUAAGAUAUACGGCGGCAUGGCUCCGCCAUUCUUGACCUCAGCACUAAAUGGAGGCAAACGGUCAGCUUCAAGCUCUGGUCGCUUUGCCCCUUGUAUAUCUAAUAUUUGAUAGGUACAGGCAGAUUUGUAAUUUUGUCAACAAGUGAGACACCAAGCUUCAUUUGUGCACAAAAAUGCACCUAAAAACGAUACAAAAUGCACAAAGAAUGGGCAGUUAUGAACAUACAGACAUGUGUAUCUGUAAGCAAAGUGACAUUGAGUGUAAGUAACAUGUAAUUGUGUUCCAGUCCAAAAAGAAAAACAGACCCAGACACCCUUCUUGUAUGUUUCGAUGAUCAGACACAUAAUUUUCAACAGAAGUUAUUUCAGUUUCAUUCUAAAUACUUCUUUAUAUAAGACUGUCAUAAUUUUGCAUUUCGUUAAAAGUCUGUAAAUGUAUAGAAAUAAUAUUACAGAAAUGUAAUGAACAAAAAUGUAGAAACUACAACAAUAUAUUCAUUAUUCCUCUUUUUAUAUUUCCUUUGGAAAAGGUUCAAAGUUGAGGGAGGUUCUUCCUUCAAAAGAUUUAUUGGAACAAAACUUCAAUGAAAAAUAUUUUAUUCCAUAUUCAUAAGGCAAAAAACUGUAAUGUAAAUCUAAAAAGAGAAAGAAGAUAUUACUUUCACUGACAUUAAUUAACAUGGUUAAUAAAGAAUUAUUUAACCCAUUUAUUACCAUCUGAAACCUUUCUUCUAGUGUUGCAGAUGAAAGUGAGCACAUAAUCAUGCAUAAAAAUAACAUGAGAAGUUGUGCGUAUCUGUGAGCGAAACAACACUCAAUGCGUGUUGUAACAUCUUACAAAUAUACAGUACUGAAGAGUGUUUGAAGGGACAGACUUACAGAACUACCAUAUGUCCAUAACUGGGUUUACAAAAUUAUGACCCUCCACUCUUGUCCUGUAUUUUUUAAUAAAUAUAACUUGUUCUGAGAAUACUUCAGCUACACUCAAUACAAAACCAAAAACAAGACUUUGGCUACAAGCUGCUUGUACAGAAUGCACAAUGCUCUUCACUACUUCAGGAUGUGUGCCUUCACUGUCCCUGAGGACACUUUGGUGCAGCAUACAUCCAUCACAUAUCUGAGAUGCAGGCAAAUUUCAAAUUACUUUCGAUCUGUCUAGUUUUAAGCCUUAGCCAAACGUUCAUUCCCAUUGUAAUUGUUUACUUACCUUAUUUUCCAGAAAAUAAGACAAACCUUUCUAUCCUGAAAAAUGCUCCCUAAAAGCUGAGUAUAUAUCUUGCAGUCUGAAUUGGACAAGUUGAUUUUCAAGAACCAAAAUGUGUUUUUUGCACGGUGCAAUUGUCAUGUGUGCACUGGAAUUCCAUGAUUUUUGUAAUGUAAUAACUACUUGUAGCAUUAUUUCAUGUUUUAAUGCAAUGGGUUCAAGGUACAGGAGCUUCCCAUACAGUACAGGGUCUAAAUUAUAACUUGACACAUUACAGUAAAGAAUAUGUAAACAGAGCACCU